AUUGAACGCUGGCGGCAGGCCUAACACAUGCAAGUCGAACGGUAACAGGAAGCAGCUUGCUGCUUUGCUGACGAGUGGCGGACGGGUGAGUAAUGUCUGGGAAACUGCCUGAUGGAGGGGGAUAACUACUGGAAACGGUAGCUAAUACCGCAUAACGUCGCAAGACCAAAGAGGGGGACCUUCGGGCCUCUUGCCAUCGGAUGUGCCCAGAUGGGAUUAGCUAGUAGGUGGGGUAACGGCUCACCUAGGCGACGAUCCCUAGCUGGUCUGAGAAGAUGACCAGCCACACUGGAACUGAGACACGGUCCAGACUCCUACGGGAGGCAGCAGUGGGGAAUAUUGCACAAUGGGCGCAAGCCUGAUGCAGCCAUGCCGCGUGUAUGAAGAAGGCCUUCGGGUUGUAAAGUACUUUCAGCGGGGAGGAAGGGAGUAAAGUUAAUACCUUUGCUCAUUGACGUUACCCGCAGAAGAAGCACCGGCUAACUCCGUG
rnacentral:rRNA from 1 species